rnacentral:rRNA from 1 species
GAUGAACGCUGGCGGCGUGCCUAAUACAUGCAAGUCGAGCGAACAGACGAGGAGCUUGCUCCUCUGACGUUAGCGGCGGACGGGUGAGUAACACGUGGAUAACCUACCUAUAAGACUGGGAUAACUUCGGGAAACCGGAGCUAAUACCGGAUAAUAUAUUGAACCGCAUGGUUCAAUAGUGAAAGACGGUUUUGCUGUCACUUAUAGAUGGAUCCGCGCCGCAUUAGCUAGUUGGUAAGGUAACGGCUUACCAAGGCAACGAUGCGUAGCCGACCUGAGAGGGGGAUCGGCCACACUGGAACUGAGACACGGUCCAGACUCCGACGGGAGGCAGCAGUAGGGAAUCUUCCGCAAUGGGCGAAAGCCUGACGGAGCAACGCCGCGUGAGUGAUGAAGGUCUUCGGAUCGUAAAACUCUGUUAUUAGGGAAGAACAAAUGUGUAAGUAACUAUGCACGUCUUGACGGUACCGAAGCAGAAAGCCACGGCUAACUACGU